GGGACUUUGCACGGGCUUAUCUCUUGUACCAUUUGUGUUCAUAAAAGUUAUUUUAACUUUUCAGGUUGAUUGCCCCCUGGGGUCAGGGAGGAAUACAAAGACAAAGACGCAUGUUACCAAGAGGCUACAAAGAGGCCAUCAAGAGAACCGCCACCAGGGGAGAAACCAAUUCCAUCAUUUCUGCCCUUCCGCCUGCUGGAGGAAGAGAGACAAGUCACUGACAGAAUGAGCACAAAUCACUCACAUUAAGUAGACUUUGCUCACUGGAGUUUGCAAACAAAAUCUAAAAGUACAGACAACAACAAAACACAAGAGACAACCAAGAGCUCCAGUACGGCCGGUGACUCCAG
rnacentral:lncRNA from 1 species